rnacentral:tRNA from 1 species
GCAGUCGUGGCCGAGUGGUUAAUGCGAUGGACUAGAAAUCCAUCGGGGUCUCCCCGCACAGGUUCGAAUCCUGUCGACUGCG